rnacentral:rRNA from 1 species
AACGAACGCUGGCGGCGCGUCUUAAGCAUGCAAGUCGGACGGCAAGGGUUGUGCUUGCACAACUCCUAGAGUGGCGGACUGGUGAGUAACGCGUGGGUGACCUGCCCUCGAGAUGGGGAUAGCCAUUAGAAAUAGUGGAUAAUACCGAAUACGCUCAUGACCCUGUGGGGAUAUGAGGAAAACAGGCUACGGCCUGGCUCGAGGAUGGGCCCGCGUCCCAUUAGCUAGUGGUGAGGUAACGGCCCACCAAGGCGACGAUGGGUAUCCGGCCUGAGAGGGUGUACGGACACAUUGGGACUGAGAUACGGCCCAGACUCCUACGGGAGGCAGCAGCUAAGAAUAUUCCGCAAUGGACGAAAGUCUGACGGAGCGACGCCGCGUGGAAUGAAGAAGGCCGGAAGGUUGUAAAAAUCCUUUUGAAACUGAAGAAUAAGCGUUGUAGGGAAUGACAGCGUGGUGACAGUAGGUUUUGAAUAAGCAACGGCUAAUUACGUGCCAGCAGCGGC